rnacentral:rRNA from 1 species
UUCUGGCUCAGGAUGAACGCUAGCUACAGGCUUAACACAUGCAAGUCGAGGGGCAGCAUUGGAGUAGCAAUACUCAGAUGGCGACCGGCGCACGGGUGAGUAACACGUAUCCAACCUGCCGCUUACUCGGGGGUAGCCUUUCGAAAGAAAGAUUAAUACCCGAUGGUAUAAAGAGUUCGCAUGUUCUCUUUAUUAAAGAAUUUCGGUAAGCGAUGUGGAUGCGUUCCAUUAGAUAGUUGGCGGGGUAACGGCCCACCAAGUCUACGAUGGAUAGGGGUUCUGAGAGGAAGGUCCCCCACAUUGGAACUGAGACACGGUCCAAACUCCUACGGGAGGCAGCAGUGAGGAAUAUUGGUCAAUGGACGAGAGUCCGAACCAGCCAAGUAGCGUGAAGGAUGACUGCCCUAUGGGUUGUAAACUUCUUUUAUAAGGGAAUAAAGUGAGGGACGUGUCCCUUUUUGUAUGUACCUUAUGAAUAAGGAUCGGCUAACUCCGUGCCAGCAGCUGC